GUGGGGAAUAUUGGACAAUGGGCGCAAGCCUGAUCCAGCCAUGCCGCGUGAGUGAUGAAGGCCUUAGGGUUGUAAAGCUCUUUCAGUGGGGACGAUAAUGACGGUACCCACAGAAGAAGCCCCGGCUAACUUCGUGCCAGCAGCCGCGGUAAUACGAAGGGGGCUAGCGUUGGUCGGAUUUACUGGGCGUAAAGCGCACGUAGGCGGAUCGUUAAGUCGGGGGUGAAAUCCUGGAGCUCAACUCCAGAACUGCCUUCGAUACUGGCGAUCUUGAGGCCGGAAGAGGUGAGUGGAACUCCUAGUGUAGAGGUGGAAUUCGUAGAUAUUAGGAAGAACACCAGUGGCGAAGGCGGCUCACUGGUCCGGUACUGACGCUGAGGUGCGAAAGCGUGGGGAGCAAACAGGAUUAGAAACCCUGGUAGUCC
rnacentral:rRNA from 1 species